GGUCAGUCCUCAUCCUCAAAUCCAUCAAAGUCCUCAUCUUCUGUAUCCCAAAUGAACAGUUGGAUGGACGACAUCAUGAUGCAAAUCGAUGUAAUUUCCACAUUUUACCUUCUACCGUAAACAAAACGCAUUUUCAUGUCACUGACCACACUAAUAAAGCAGUCGGUUUCCUCCUCCCUCCAAAAGUGUGGGUCUGUGCGAUUUCUGAAUUUUUCUGUUAGUGGAUCUCUGCCUGUGUAUUUUCAGUGGUUUACGCAACAGACUCCACACGUACCAGUGCUUUCUGUACUCAAACGAUCAAGAUUCCUUGCAGAUAGAGAAUGAGCAGAACACAAACCAAUAUUCUGUUUAUGAUGGCCACCCAGUCGCCUAUGUGGCCAAAAUUUUGGUUAGAAACGGGAUAACCCAGGGGUCUUAUUUGGGUUUUUGCACGUUGUUGAGUUUAUUAUUGACUGUAUGUAAACUUUAUUAAAAUACUGUGAAUGUGAGCAGAGCAGUGCUCUGACUUUUCAUACAGUUUUUAGGUAAUGUUAAGCUCCUGGGCUCCUAAACCUGGCUCAGCUCAUUAGUCAAUCAGCUAUAUUCCAUCAUUUUGAUUUACUUAGCAAAGAAACCAAUUUAGAUGUCAGCAUCCAAGUGAGAUUUACAUAAAUGUGGUGACAUUUACGAAUGUGUCAUUCUUUUGGAAUAAACAAUGAGAAU